GGUAAAAGGUUUUUAUUUUUCGUAGUUGUUGUACUGAGUGUUGUUGAUGAUAGUUUUGGCUUCAUAUGGAUACUAUUACGAUGCACUUUUUAAGGGGGGGUUUUGCAGUUCCUAACACCAAGUGUUUUACAGUUUUUCUUUGGCAGUGUUUUUAAGCCUUGGUGUUCAUGACAGCAUUUGGACUGUUGAUGGCUAUAGCUUUGUCAGCAAUGCAGGCAAUCCUGGAUAUUAUAACCCUGAUAUCCCAAAAGAUGUUUGACCCAUGCAGGAUGAUGUUAAACUACUAAGUUUUUACACCAGGUAUGGCCCAGGAGAUGUUGCUGGACCAAUCAGGCCUCGGAGUUCUAGGAAUAUAAUUUAUAGUGCUGCAGUUAAGGCAGGCUAUGGUUCUGGAAGCUACCAUUCUCAGACUGGCUCUUCAGGUGGUCCAGUGACAAGUGGAAGUUCUGGUUCAGAUGCUAGAAGCCAGCUUCAGGACUCUCGACGUGCUUCAGUUGGAAGUGGUAGCCUUGUGGGUAGUGCAG